rnacentral:rRNA from 1 species
GAGUGUAGCAUGCGGGCGAGUCAUUGGGCAUUUUUAAACCCAAAGGCAAAGCGAAAUCAAAGGCAAACCUUCGGGCAAGCCAGGGGAUGAUGGACGAUUAUAUAUGAUCGUCUCGCAAUCCCGGGGUGUCUCUAUCUCAUUGCGAGAUGAGACGCCCUCAGAGCCCGCACGCUGCCACCCGAAAGAUGGUGAACUAUGCCUGGGCAGGACGAAGCCAGGGGAAACCCUGGUGGAGGUCCGUAGCGAUUCUGACGUGCAAAUCGAUCGUCAAAUCUUGGUAUAGGGGCGAAAGACCAAUCGAACCAUCUAGUAGCUGGUUCCCUCUGAAGUUUCCCUCAGGAUAGCAGGUGCCAUAGCGUGCUGCAUUUAUGCACACGGCUGUAGUCACAUGCGGUAAAGCGAAUGAUUAGAGGUAUUGGGGUCGAAACGGCCUCAACCUAUUCUCAAACUUUCAAUGUGUGCGAUCUCCGGCUUACGUAUGUGAAGCCGGUUGAUCGGAUACAAAGGUGCCUAGUGGGCCAUUUUUGGUAAGCAGAACUGGCGCUGUGGGAUGAACCAAACGUGGAGUUAAAGUGCCCGAACCACGCUUAUGGGAAACCAUGAAAGGCGUUAAUAACUAAAGACAGCAG